rnacentral:rRNA from 1 species
AUGAGCAAGAAGAACAAACCUGAAAAGUCAAUCAAGUUGCUGAAAGAUGCUGAACAAACAGUAACUUCAGAUUACAUCACAGGAGAUUCCCUUGAUGAACUAUUGUCGAAACUUAUCAGGAGCGUGGAGUCUGCCAAGGCUUCAAGGGGAGGUUUGCCAGAAAAGAUAUGGAUGAAGCAACAAUUUUCUGUUGGGGUCAACGACGUGACAAGGGUUCUCGAACGAAUGCCUGCUGCUGCUGCUUCUCGUUCUGGCUGUUCCACUGAAGCACCGACCAGCACAGCUAGGCGGAGAGCUCCUUUGGUGCCACUUCAGGCUGUCAUUAUAGCCGCUGAUUGCAAUCCCAAAUGGCUAACAAAGCACAUACCAACCCUGGCAAGCACAAGGCAAGUCCCCGUAUUGUGCCUCAAGGACAACAAAGGAAGCUCGUUGAGGUUAGGUCAAGUGGCGAAUGUCCGAACAGCGCUGGCCAUUGGGAUAAAGGCCAAAGACAGCAUAAUCAAUAAGACUGUUGACGAAGUGCUGAAGGAUUAUUAUAAGCCAGUGGCCGAUGAACAGUAA